UACGGAGGGUGCAAGCGUUAUCCGGAUUCACUGGGUUUAAAGGGCGCGUAGGCGGGCUCGCAAGUCAGGGGUGAAAGCCUCCAGCUCAACUGGAGAAGUGCCUUUGAUACUGCGGGUCUCGAGGGAGGUAGGGGCGUGCGGAACUUCCGGUGGAGCGGUGAAAUGCGUAGAUAUCGGAAGGAACACCGGUGGCGAAAGCGGCGCGCUGGACCUCUUCUGACGCUGAGGCGCGAAAGCCAGGGGAGCGAACGGG
rnacentral:rRNA from 1 species